AAUCCAUGUUGUUGGCAUCUUUUGAGUAGCUAUUUAAAUGUCUCCCAUGCUUCAUAAAAGGAUUCAUUACCUUUCUUAGCAAAGGAUGAGAUCUCAGCUUUGAAAUU